UUAACUCGAAUUUGUGUGGAGUUCGAACGUUUGCCUGCGUUUGCCGCUAGGGGCGCUGUUCUAACUGCAUACAAAUUCGUGUUA
rfam:Bombyx mori DNA, contig: Bm_scaf929_contig44926, strain: p50T/Dazao, build 2, whole genome shotgun sequence.